rnacentral:rRNA from 1 species
GAUGAACGCUGGCGGCGUGCCUAAUACAUGCAAGUCGAGUGAACAGACGAGGAGCUUGCUCCUCUGACGUUAGCGGCGGACGGGUGAGUAACACGUGGAUAACCUACCUAUAAGACUGGGAUAACUUCGGGAAACCGGAGCUAAUACCGGAUAAUAUAUUGAACCGCAUGGUUCAAUAGUGAAAGACGGUUUUGCUGUCACUUAUAGAUGGAUCCGCGCCGCAUUAGCUAGUUGGUAAGGUAACGGCUUACCAAGGCGACGAUGCGUAGCCGACCUGAGAGGGUGAUCGGCCACACUGGAACUGAGACACGGUCCAGACUCCUACGGGAGGCAGCAGUAGGGAAUCUUCCGCAAUGGGCGAAAGCCUGACGGAGCAACGCCGCGUGAGUGAUGAAGGUCUUCGGACCGUAAAACUCUGUUAUUAGGGAAGAACAAAUGUGUAAGUAACUAUGCACGUCUUGACGGUACCUAAUCAGAAAGCCACGGCUAACUACGUG